rnacentral:rRNA from 1 species
GACGAACGCUGGCGGCGUGCUUAACACAUGCAAGUCGAACGGAAAGGCCCUGCUUUUGUGGGGUGCUCGAGUGGCGAACGGGUGAGUAACACGUGAGUAACCUGCCCUUGACUUUGGGAUAACUUCAGGAAACUGGGGCUAAUACCGGAUAGGAGCUCCUGCUGCAUGGUGGGGGUUGGAAAGUUUCGGCGGUUGGGGAUGGACUCGCGGCUUAUCAGCUUGUUGGUGGGGUAGUGGCUUACCAAGGCUUUGACGGGUAGCCGGCCUGAGAGGGUGACCGGCCACAAGGGGACUAAGAUACGGCCCAGACUCCUACGGGAGGCAGAGGUGGGAAAUAUUGCACAAUGGGCGGGAGCCUGAGGCAGCAAUGCCGCGAGCGGGAUGACGGCCUUCGGGUUGUAAACCGCUGUCGCCGGUGACGAAGCGUUAGUGACGGUAAUUGAUAAGGAAGCACCGGCUAACUACGUG